rnacentral:lncRNA from 1 species
UGAUGUCCCUUUUGAGAAGCCCAUUCCAGUACUUGGCCUAAACUUCAAUCCUUUAGUGGCUAGAACUGCUUUGUGAGAACCAUCGGAGUCGGUGGAUGCCAUGAUUGCCUGUCAUAGAGCCUCUCGUCGGACAUAGGCAUAGGCUUGCUCAAUGGUAAGAAACGGCUCCAUUUUAAAAAUCCACUUCGAAUGCUGUGAAGCUAGUCAUCAAGUCCAUCAAGAAAGGUAUAAACUCGUUGUUCUUGGAUUAGGUUGUUGAAUUGGCGGAUGUUAGCGGCACACUUCAUCGGAUUUGGGCAACUAAAGUCAAUUUCGUGACACAACCCCUGUAAUUCAGUGUAGUAUUUCUCCAAGGAGCUGCUCGCCUGUCUCAGUUGAGUCACCCUUUGUCGGAGAUCAUAGAUUUGGGAUUUGUCAUUCCCAACAAAAUAGGUAGUGGCAAUUGCAUCCCAGACUUCCUUAGCAGUGGAAAAACGAAUGCAGUUGCCGAUGAAAGCAGGGUCCAAAGAGUUGAUAAUCCAUCCCUUAACAAUAGUGUUCUCAGUUCGCCACUUCCGGUAGGAUGGGUUGGUCUGUAUGGGUGGAGAAGCGUCUUCAUUAAUGUAACUUAGUUUAUCUUUUUCAGAAAUAUAAAUUUCCAUAACUUGUGAUCAUAGGCCAUAAUUUGCAUCUUUCAAUUUAAUGCCAAUCUAGUAUGAAUUUUCAAUUGGUGGGGGAUAAUAUAUGUAUUUUGGUUAAACCUUUAGAAAUUUUGGUGGUAAGGUCCAUGAGUAUGGCAUUAGUAUUGGGUAGGGUUUAGCUGAUGUCAGUGAAGACGUUGGGGUCCUCCAUUUGUUUGUGAAAAUGUUCAUACGAAUAAAGCUAGAGAACGGUUAGGGAAGGAGGUCAUGGGUCAUGUACAUGCUCUGAUACCAUGUCAAGUAAGGUAUUUUUGAUUAUAUUCUCUUCAAUAUGAAGUGUAUAGAUUUAUAGGAGAAGGGAAUGCUCCUAAUUUUGGAUUAUAUAGAUUUUUAGCUAAUUGAUUGAUUCUACAACUAAUUGACUGAUUCGACUCCCUUGAAAUGAUAUGAUUACAUAUGAUU